rnacentral:rRNA from 1 species
UACGGGAGGCAGCAGUAGGGAAUCUUCCACAAUGGACGCAAGUCUGAUGGAGCAACGCCGCGUGAGUGAAGAAGGUUUUCGGAUCGUAAAGCUCUGUUGUUGGUGAAGAAGGAUAGAGGUAGUAACUGGCCUUUAUUUGACGGUAAUCAACCAGAAAGUCACGGCUAACUACGUGCCAGCAGCCGCGGUAAUACGUAGGU